UACAGAGGGUGCGAGCGUUGUCCGGAAUCACUGGGCGUAAAGGGCGCGUAGGUGGUGGCUUAAGCGUGCGGUGAAAGCUCGGGGCUCAACUCCGAGUCGGCCGUGCGAACUGGGCUCACUGGAGCAUAGUAGAGGCAGGUGGAAUUCCGGGUGUAGCGGUGGAAUGCGUAGAGAUCCGGAAGAACACCGGUGGCGAAGGCGGCCUGCUGGGCUAUGGCUGACACUGAGGCGCGACAGCGUGGGUAGCAAACAGG
rnacentral:rRNA from 1 species